GCCCCUGUGGCGCAAUGGACUAGCGUGUUGGACUUCUAAUCCAAAGGUUGUGGGUUCUCGUCCCACCAGGGGUG
rnacentral:tRNA from 1 species